AUGACUUUGAUCUCCGUCCUCAUCUGGACUCUCCUCUGCUGCUGCUUCACAGAGUCCAGAGGCCAGAUCACAGUGACUCAGCCUGCAGCAGUGAGCUCUGCUCUGGGAGGAUCCACAACCAUCAGCUGUAGGACCAGUCAAAGUGUUUAUGGUGGGAGCUACUUAGCCUGGUACCAACAGAGAGAUGGAGAAACUCCUAAACUGAUGAUUUACUAUGCUACCACUCGAGCAUCAGGAAUUCCAGAUCGUUUUACAGGCAGUGGAUCAAACUCUGACUUCACUCUGACCAUCAGUGGAGUUCAGGCUGAAGAUGCAGCAGUUUACUACUGUCAGAGUUAUCAUGAAAUCAACAGUCAGAGUGUG